AACGAACGCUGGCGGCAGGCCUAACACAUGCAAGUCGAACGAAGUCUUCGGACUUAGUGGCGCACGGGUGCGUAACACGUGGGAAUAUACCUUACGCUGGGGGAUAACAUCGGGAAACUGAUGCUAAUACCGCAUACGCCCUUCGGGGGAAAGAUUUAUCGGCGAAAGAUUAGCCCGCGUCCGAUUAGCUAGUUGGUGAGGUAAUGGCUCACCAAGGCUCCGAUCGGUAGCUGGUCUGAGAGGAUGACCAGCCACACUGGGACUGAGACACGGCCCAGACUCCUACGGGAGGCAGCAGUGGGGAAUAUUGGACAAUGGGCGCAAGCCUGAUCCAGCCAUGCCGCGUGAGUGAUGAAGGCCUUAGGGUUGUAAAGCUCUUUCACCCACGACGAUGAUGACGGUAGUGGGAGAAGAAGCCCCGGCUAACUUCGUG
rnacentral:rRNA from 1 species